GUCUCUGAGGAUGAUCAUAAAAAUAAACUGAGUUGUCUAUGAAGAAAAUAAAUGGAAACCUGAACUGAAGAGGC
rfam:Vigna angularis cultivar Jingnong 6 chromosome 8, whole genome shotgun sequence.